GUGCCAGCCGCCGCGGUAAUACCGGCAGCUCGAGUGAUGUCCCAUAUUAUUGGGCCUAAAGCGUCCGUAGCUGGCCGCGCAAGUCCAUCGGGAAAUCCACUCGCUCAACGGGUGGACGGCCGGUGGAAACUGCCCGGCUCGGGAGCGGAAGACCCCACGGGUACGUCCAGGGUAGGAGUGAAAUCCCGUAAUCCUGGACGGACCGCCGAUGGCGAAAGCACGUUGGGAAGACGAAGCCGACAGUGAGGGACGAAAGCUAGGGUCUCGAACCGGAUUAGAAACCCUAGUAGUCC
rnacentral:rRNA from 1 species